GAUAUUUUAAAAAAUCAAACUUUAUUUAGAAAACAUGGAUUGUAUUGUAUGUAUAUAUGUAGAACGCUAAGAAGGGGGCUAGUAAGAAAUAUUGUCUGCAAUCUGAAGUUAGUUCUUUCAGAAGGAAGCUUGAAUAGACUUAAUUGCUGCUUGUAGGAUAGUUUACCACACACUACUUUCAUGUCCGACUAGCUCUCUGGUCCCAUUUACUGUCCCCUACCUCAGCUAUGACUCUUGCUCCUUCCUUCUUUCCCUGUUUUGUCACAUAUUUCAGAAAAGCCAGCAGCAGCCAUUUUGGACCUUAUCUCUGAUUAUUGAACCCACAUUUUAGAUUUCAAUUUAUUUACAUAUUUUAUACCCUCCCUCUUUCUCUAUAUCUCUCCUAGUAACAUUCACACCUAUUUAUGCCACUUCCUCCUCUCUCAGCAUCAAUCCAAGCAUCGUAUUAAAAUGUUUUCAUCAAUUUCCAAAGACUUCACAAUUCACGUGUACACAGAUAUGAAACGGACUGAUAAAAAACAAUGCCAACUUUUAUUUAUGAGACGAUAGCUGUCUUUCCAUCGUGGCGUGGCGUGCUCGAUUGUGACAUAUCUGCAGACCAAAUACGUCUACCUUUCUGUUAGCAAAGAACAACCAGAUUGAAUUUAUAACCAUUUUUUUUUUUUUUUGAAUGUCAUACACAAAAGAAACCUAAAAACUAAGAAGUCAUUAGAAUGGAAUUUGGAACUCUAAUUCCAUCACAUCCAUGAUGUCUAUUAUAAAUUUCAUGCCGUGUCCAAGAGAAGGACUUUAUAUAUUAUAUGCCAGUAUAUUUCUUAUGAUCUGAUGUUGUUUCUUUCUCUGUUUUUAGAGUUGUCAAUAUACCACCAUGGUGAAAUCUCCGCUCUCCAGUAGCAAAAAAUGCAAGCCUACACUUGGUUUGCUGCUGAAAAUGUAACUUAGCAGACUUCUCAAAGACCAGCAUGGCAUGGAACUGGAUUGCUGUACUACACACUGCUUAAAUCAGUGUUGACCAAAUAUUCUUACACAUCAUGAGGCUUCCCAAGAGAUGAGACACAAAUGUUGAAUAUAACAGAAGUUGACCUCAAAAGGAAAAACAUUUCACAACCAAAUGAAUAAGUAGCCUUCUGCACUGUCCAGUUGUUCACUUGGAAUAUCAGACUUCAAGAAAUUGUUAGAUUAGUGGAUUUUGAAGUUAUUUUGAGAAUGAAGUGCAAACUCUAACAUAACAAAUAAGAUGAUAUAUGACUGUGAAAUCAUACAUGGAAAACUAUAUAUGUGUGAAAACCAGUUUGGACUUAAUGCUUCUGGCUUUUUUUUGAAAUGCCAUCAAACCAAAUUCUUGAAAUACUUCUGCAAAGGUAAGAAAUUGUUUACAUAUUAAACAUUACUUUGUGUGCGCAUGUGUGUGUGUGUGUCAAGGUGAGUGUAUGUGUUUGUAUGAGUG